rnacentral:lncRNA from 1 species
AGAUGGCGGGGCAGGUGCCAGAAUGAAAGAUAAAUUUCCUUUUGCAUAAAGAAGAAAUAUUGAAGGAAACUGAGCAGAGGUGAUGGAGAAAUUAGAGCGUUGAAAGACCCUGAAAGCACGCGGUCCAUGUCAGCCCUCUCUCAGGAUUUUCAGCUGAGUCAGCAGAAAGCAGGAAAAACUGUUGCGGGAAAUGAGAACCUCUUUGAAGACCAGUAAUGGAGAGGUUCCUGCAAGUGUCACGUCCAGAGGUCUGAGGAAAGCCUUCCAGGAAUUAAAGUUGGUGGUGCAGAAGGUACCUCUGCGUGGCUGAGUGGCCAACGUGCAUCGUAAUCUGGGACUGCAGUAGAGACAUAGUUAGAAGUUAUGAAUGUAAUGAAGGGAAACCAUCAAAGAUUCAGAAAUUGGAAGCUGGGCCAAUAAUGGGAGAGGAAAACGGACAGAGGGUUUCUGAGGAGUUUGUGCAAAUCAUGAGCCAGGGAGAGCCAAGAGAUACAACUUGUGCAGUGGCAGCAAAGGUUGGGUGUAACACGUUCAAAAAGCAUAACAUGGAGUGGAAGUGAUGAGUGUGGGACAUGGAAGCGCCUGGUGGAGCUCUGAGCUGGUGGUACACACAGAGCUGCUGGAAGCCUCCUGCCCUCCUACAGCGGAGGAACGUGGCAGCCUGCACCCACG